CCAAGUGCCUCAACAAUAUGGUAUUUUAAUGCACUUGUAGCUUCCUAUGUUCCCAGCACUAUCUUUUAAGUAUAAAGACCAGUGGGAAGAAUGAGGCAGGGCAUGUACAUGGUUGGCUCGGAAGCUGGAUGAACUCUAUGGGUAUAUUAACUUCCAGAAAAGUGUCCUGGCAAAAGUUCCCAAGUUUCUCAGCUGGCUCUAGAUUUCCAAAGGAAUGGUAUAAAUUUAAUCAAAACUAAACACUCCUGCAGAGCCUCAUGGUUCCAGCCCAAUGCAAAUUGAAAUGCUGUUUGGAACACGCUUACCAGAUGUUGGAACAGAAGUACCAGGAAACAAAGAGGAGGAUGGUGCUAUUCAGUGACAUAUCCUAGUGCCUGACACACACUGUUUCCAAAAGAGGAAGGUAGCAGCUCUGAAGAUCCAUGCUUAUCAUUCGUGGUUCGAUCUUAAGGGCUGCUGAAGACACACUCUGUUUUAUCAUCCAAUUCAUUUCUCAAUUUGUACCAGAUGCCAUCACUAAGUAGUUACUACUGUCUGUCUUCUAUGAACUGGGUACAUGUCUGUCUGAGGAGACUGCAAUCUGCUCAAUAGACCAAAGAAAUCAGUGAAGAAGGAGUAGAUAUAUACUUCAGAUAUCAAUGAAGGGCUGUGACCCUGUUCUUGUGGACAGAAGAUUAAGAUCACGUUAAACUCUCCUUCCUGAACUGCUGGUGGUGAUAGGGGGUGGUGAGCAAAGAAGAAAAUGAAACCCAAACGAUUUUUGCUCCUACGCCUUUCCCCCAACUUCUUGCACCUCCUGCCAAGGAUCAUAGGAGUUAUCAAUAUAAUGGAUGCUUAUA